CGGGGUGAGUAACGCGUGGAGAACCUGCCGUAUACUGGGGGAGUAACACUUAGAAAUAGGUGCUAAUACCGCAUAAGCGCACAGCUUCGCAUGAAGCAGUGUGAAAAACUCCGGUGGUAUACGAUGGAUCCGCGUCUGAUUAGCUGGUUGGCGGGGUAAAGGCCCACCAAGGCGACGAUCAGUAGCCGGCCUGAGAGGGUGAACGGCCACAUUGGGACUGAGACACGGCCCAAACUCCUACGGGAGGCAGCAG
rnacentral:rRNA from 1 species